rnacentral:rRNA from 1 species
AUGAACGCUAGCUACAGGCUUAACACAUGCAAGUCGAGGGGCAGCAUGGUCUUAGCUUGCUAAGGCCGAUGGCGACCGGCGCACGGGUGAGUAACACGUAUCCAACCUGCCGUCUACUCUUGGACAGCCUUCUGAAAGGAAGAUUAAUACAAGAUGGCAUCAUGAGUCCGCAUGUUCACAUGAUUAAAGGUAUUCCGGUAGACGAUGGGGAUGCGUUCCAUUAGAUAGUAGGCGGGGUAACGGCCCACCUAGUCUUCGAUGGAUAGGGGUUCUGAGAGGAAGGUCCCCCACAUUGGAACUGAGACACGGUCCAAACUCCUACGGGAGGCAGCAGUGAGGAAUAUUGGUCAAUGGGCGAGAGCCUGAACCAGCCAAGUAGCGUGAAGGAUGACUGCCCUAUGGGUUGUAAACUUCUUUUAUAAAGGAAUAAAGUCGGGUAUGGAUACCCGUUUGCAUGUACUUUAUGAAUAAGGAUCGGCUAACUCCGUGCCAGCAGCCGCGGUAAUACGGAGGAUCCGAGCGUUAUCCGGAUUUAUUGGGUUUAAAGGGAGCGUAGAUGGAUGUUUAAGUCAGUUGUGAAAGUUUGCGGCUCAACCGUAAAAUUGCAGUUGAUACUGGAUAUCUUGAGUGCAGUUGAGGCAGGCGGAAUUCGUGGUGUAGCGGUGAAAUGCUUAGAUAUCACGAAGAACUCCGAUUGCGAAGGCAGCCUGCUAAGCUGCAACUGACAUUGAGGCUCGAAAGUGUGGGUAUCAAACAGGAUUAGAUACCCUGGUAGUCCACACGGUAAACGAUGAAUACUCGCUGUUUGCGAUAUACUGCAAGCGGCCAAGCGAAAGCGUUAAGUAUUCCACCUGGGGAGUACGCCGGCAACGGUGAAACUCAAAGGAAUUGACGGGGGCCCGCACAAGCGGAGGAACAUGUGGUUUAAUUCGAUGAUACGCGAGGAACCUUACCCGGGCUUAAAUUGCAGAUGAAUUGCGGUGAAAGCCGUAAGCCGCAAGGCAUCUGUGAAGGUGCUGCAUGGUUGUCGUCAGCUCGUGCCGUGAGGUGUCGGCUUAAGUGCCAUAACGAGCGCAACCCUUGUUGUCAGUUACUAACAGGUUCCGCUGAGGACUCUGACAAGACUGCCAUCGUAAGAUGUGAGGAAGGUGGGGAUGACGUCAAAUCAGCACGGCCCUUACGUCCGGGGCUACACACGUGUUACAAUGGGGGGUACAGAGGGCCGCUACCACGCGAGUGGAUGCCAAUCCCCAAAACCUCUCUCAGUUCGGACUGGAGUCUGCAACCCGACUCCACGAAGCUGGAUUCGCUAGUAAUCGCGCAUCAGCCACGGCGCGGUGAAUACGUUCCCGGGCCUUGUACACACCGCCCGUCAAGCCAUGGGAGCCGGGGGUACCUGAAGUGCGUAACCGCGAGGAGCGCCCUAGGGUAAAACUGGUGACUGGGGCU